UACGGGGGGGGGCAAGCGUUGUUCGGAAUUACUGGGCGUAAAGGGCUCGUAGGCGGCCAACUAAGUCAGACGUGAAAAUCCCCUCGGCUUAACCGGGGAACUGCGUCUGAUACUGGAUGGCUAGAGGUUGGGAGAGGGAUGCGGAAUUCCAGGUGUAGCGGUGAAAUGCGUAGAUAUCUGGAGGAACACCGGUGGCGAAGGCGGCAUCCUGGACCAAUUCUGACGCUGAGGAGCGAAAAGCCAGGGGAGCAAACGGG
rnacentral:rRNA from 1 species